UGAUUUUUUAUAUUUUACCAAGUCUUGGGUGCUUCAAUUAAUUAUUUUUAUGAUCAGUUGGACUUCCCAUAGCCAAAUUGAGCUUUUUCCUCCCUUAGUAGACGGUUUAGGCUUCAAAUUUAGCAGUAGGCUUGUCCAUUUCAGCGAUCCAAUUGUGAGCUUGGUAAAAGUUAGUUUGAGAAUCCAAAAGAUGAAUUAGGAUGCCUCAUGCUGAUUAGCCAUCAACCCAUGUCUGCAUGGCCUCUGCUACAAGAAUGCUACAACAUCGAGCAUCGAAUAGGAGAGCACCAAGAGUCAAAAGGAGCCAAAAAUGAGCCAAAAAGGGACAAAACGUACCAAAUCAAGAAGAUGACAUGGCCUAAGCCUUACCACACGGGCUGUUCACACGCUCGUGUCUUUCGAGGGUGUCGACCAAGGUUUUCACGAUUCACACGGCCUGGCCAUUGACCUACACGGUAUGCAAUUUAAUGGAUCGAACACGGCUUGGCAAUCACGUCACAC